rnacentral:rRNA from 1 species
GUGAGUAACCUGCCCUUGACUUUGGGAUAACUUCAGGAAACUGGGGCUAAUACCGGAUAGGAGCUCCUGCUGCAUGGUGGGGGUUGGAAAGUUUCGGCGGUUGGGGAUGGACUCGCGGCUUAUCAGCUUGUUGGUGGGGUAGUGGCUUACCAAGGCUUUGACGGGUAGCCGGCCUGAGAGGGUGACCGGCCACAUUGGGACUGAGAUACGGCCCAGACUCCUACGGGAGGCAGCAGUGGGGAAUAUUGCACAAUGGGCGGAAGCCUGAUGCAGCAACGCCGCGUGCGGGAUGACGGCCUUCGGGUUGUAAACCGCUUUCGCCUGUGACGAAGCGUGAGUGACGGUAAUGGGUAAAGAAGCACCGGCUAACUACGUGCCAGCAGCCGCGGUGAUACGUAGGGUGCGAGCGUUGUCCGGAUUUAUUGGGCGUAAAGGGCUCGUAGGUGGUUGAUCGCGUCGGAAGUGUAAUCUUGGGGCUUAACCCUGAGCGUGCUUUCGAUACGGGUUGACUUGAGGAAGGUAGGGGAGAAUGGAAUUCCUGGUGGAGCGGUGGAAUGCGCAGAUAUCAGGAGGAACACCAGUGGCGAAGGCGGUUCUCUGGGCCUUUCCUGACGCUGAGGAGCGAAAGCGUGGGGAGCGAACAGGCUUAGAUACCCUGGUAGUCCACGCUGUAAACGGUGGGUACUAGGUGUGGGGUCCAUUCCACGGGUUCCGCGCCGUAGCUAACGCUUUAAGUACCCCGCCUGGGGAGUACGGCCGCAAGGCUAAAACUCAAAGGAAUUGACGGGGCCCCGCACAAGCGGCGGAGCAUGCGGAUUAAUUC